rfam:Ixodes scapularis strain Wikel colony gcontig_1108379708496, whole genome shotgun sequence.
GCAUGGUUAGCUCAGUUGGUAGAGCACUUCACUGGAAAUGGAAAAGUCCGUAGUUCGAUACUCGGACCAGGCG